UAAUUUGUGUUUCACUAUUUAGGGGCAGAGGGUGGAUAAGGGUUAGCGUGAUUUUAUCGUAUGGUUAUGAUUAAUACUUGGAUGACUCGAAAAGGUUCUGCAAAUUCAGCCCUAGUAGGAUGAUUCGGGGUUUUAGGUUGUUCAGUACGCUCUACGGAUGGUCUUCCUCGUGUCAUUCCUAAAAAAGAAAGGAAGACACGAGUUAGCGGUCUAAUCUUAAAAAAUGACUUAUUUCUUUCCUAGAUAUUCUAAAGGGCUCAUCUAC
rnacentral:lncRNA from 1 species